rnacentral:rRNA from 1 species
AACGAACGCUGGCGGCAUGCCUAACACAUGCAAGUCGAACGAGACCUUCGGGUCUAGUUGCGCACGGGUGCGUAACGCGUGGGAACCUGCCCUUAGGUUCGGAAUCACUCCCCGAAAGGGGUGCUAAUACCGGCUAAUGUCUUCGGACCAAAGAUUUAUCGCCUUUGGAUGGGCCCGCGUUGGAUUAGCUAGUUGGUAGGGUAAAAGCCUACCAAGGCGACGAUCCAUAGCUGGUCUGAGAGGAUGAUCAGCCACACUGGGACUGAGACACGGCCCAGACUCCUACGGGAGGCAGCAGUGGGGAAUAUUGGACGAUGGGAGAAAGCCUGAUCCAGCAAUGCGGGGUGAGUGAUGAAGGCCUUAGGGUUGUAAAGCUCUUUUACCCGGGAUGAUAAUGACAGUACCGGGAGAAUAAGCUCCGGCUAACUCCGUG